GAUGAACGCUAGCUACAGGCUUAACACAUGCAAGUCGAGGGGCAGCAUGAUUGAAGCUUGCUUCAAUUGAUGGCGACCGGCGCACGGGUGAGUAACACGUAUCCAACCUUCCGUACACUCAGGGAUAGCCUUUCGAAAGAAAGAUUAAUACCUGAUGGUAUCUUAAGCACACAUGUAAUUAAGAUUAAAGAUUUAUCGGUGUACGAUGGGGAUGCGUUCCAUUAGGUAGUAGGCGGGGUAACGGCCCACCUAGCCUACGAUGGAUAGGGGUUCUGAGAGGAAGGUCCCCCACAUUGGAACUGAGACACGGUCCAAACUCCUACGGGAGGCAGCAGUGAGGAAUAUUGGUCAAUGGACGAGAGUCUGAACCAGCCAAGUAGCGUGAAGGAUGAAGGUCCUACGGAUUGUAAACUUCUUUAUAAGGGAAUAAAACCUCCCACGUGUGGGAGCUUGUAUGUACCUUAUGAAUAAGCAUCGGCUAACUCCGUGCCAGCAGCC
rnacentral:rRNA from 1 species